rnacentral:lncRNA from 1 species
CACCACCAACUCCGCCACCACUUGAGCAAUUCGUCACUGUUGUUUGUUGCGUCGUGACCACCUUUUCUGAUUAAACACUUUGCGAUUUCUUUACUAAAUAUCCUGGCAAGGGAGAAACUAGACGAACGAUGUACUGAAAUGACAAUCCGCUUCGCUGUAAUAAGCCCAAGCUUCGAUGAGAGUCUUCCCUCGAUAAAUUGAAGCGAAUCACAAAAGGUUGGUUGUAUUAAAGAGAAAAUUGGAUGCCAAGCGGAUCUACCGGUCGCAAUGUAUUCUAAACUAUCAUCAAUGCGUACCAGCCUCGUAAUUCUGUCUUUGAUCGUAUCUCCGACUCAGCCCAAUCCUGAUCCUCUUUCUUAUUUCAAUUUUACUUGCAAUUUGAACACAGAUUUCUGAUGUUACGAGGAGAUUAUUUUACGUAUGAUAUGUACCGGCUGCGCACAUUUUUCAACGAUAAUAAUGAAUAGAUUUAACUCCCUCCUUAGAGAAAAUGGAUGUAAUGGCGUCGUAAUGAUUCGCUUUCAUAGGUCUAAUGAUAAAUUAAUCCCUACCGUAGUUCCACGAUAAAACAAAGUUAACAUAGAUUACGGUAAAUAUAAACUCUGAUUAAAUUUCUCCACAUGCAUGUCAAUUAAUUAAAGAACACCCUUUCAAAAUGGCAACAAACGAAGAGCCAUUUGAUUUUGCUUCAGAAUAUAACUCCUUUACAAUCACUAUUAAACACUGUGCUUCAAUUUUCAGCAGUAGACUUCUCAUAGAAGCCCCGUACACUAUCGGCUCAAUAUAUCACUGACAUUUAAACACUUUUCCCGCUUAAAAACGUUCGAAAAAAUCUGACGCUUUUUUUCUCACCACAGCCCUGUCUCUGCUGACACGAGAUCGAUUAACCGUGAUUUCUAUUUAUUUCCCUUCUCAUAUCAAUCAAUAAUGAGAUGGAGAAGCGAAGAGAAUUUCAUAAUUAGCGACACAUAAUCGCGUCGUAGAUGGAGCGCCAUCGACUCCACCCUCCAAAAUCGCAAAUCGAAUAACGCUCCUUUCCCCGUCGAUCCCGCACGCAUAAACACUACCGCGUUUUUUUGGUUUUUUUUUUCCGAACUUUGCGCUAGUCGAAUAAAAUCAGUGAAAGCGCAAUCAACAGAUAAAAAGAAAGAAAGAAAGAAAGAAAUGAGAUGAGAAGAAGAGAGCAGCGCGCUCUAAUAGAAGAAGGAAAAGAGAUCGCGUAACUGACAGCAGUAGAUACGCUGUCUGAGUGGUGACUGGUCGACUGUAUGCUGAGAAUAAGCGCGGAUCACGCUCUCGCGCGCAGGACAACGCGUCACGCACGGUGGGCGUGAUCUGACCUCUAUUCGGCUUUCCGUCGCGCUCAGCGAUUGGUGGGUCCUAGAUCGUGUCGCCAUUUGCACACUCCUCCCAUGCGCCCCACCGCGCGUCGGCGGUAAAUCUCCCCCUCAUCGCCGCGCCACAUCGUGCGGAUCCAGUCACUUGAGAGUCAGUACGAGUGAUCUUUUAUCAACCGCAAUCUCAAUCUAAAUGAGACACAAUUUUCCUUGUGGACCGUAUUCAAGGGCGGAGACGAGUUAUAGAAUGUCACAUCUACGUCCAUGUCAAAGAAUAGGAGAACGAGAGAAGUGCGAAGAAGAUAAAGGGGUGGAUGUCGGAUCGCUGAUGGUGCCCGGUUAACAAGAUAUUGCUCCGCACGUCUAUAGAUCUCCGUGCAUCCAGAAAAAAGAGCGUCUUUAUUUCCAAGACAUGAAAGACUAUCAUGACCUAUCAUGUGUAGUAAGGAUGCCAAAAAUGAAGAGGAAAGUGGGAUGAAACAUGAACGGACAACGAGGUAAAAUGAUUUAUUUAUCAAAUUUUAUUAGUAACUAUUUCCAUCUGCUGA